rnacentral:rRNA from 1 species
CCUACGGGUGGCUGCAGUGGGGAAUAUUGCGCAAUGGGCGAAAGCCUGACGCAGCGACGCCGCGUGAGUGAUGAAGGUCUCCGGAUCGUAAACCUCUGUCAGCAGGGAAGAACGGUCACUGUGCUAAUCAGCAGUGAAUCGACGGUAUCUGCCAAGGAAGCACCGGCUAACUCCGUGCCAGCAGCCGCGGUAAUACGGAGGGUGCGAGCGUUAAUCGGAAUUAUUGGGCGUAAAGCGCUCGUAGGCGGUAUGUCAAGUCAAGGGUGAAAGCCCUCGGCUCAACGUGGGAACUGCCUUUGAAACUGGCAGACUGGAGUGUGUGAGAGGAUAGUGGAAUUCCAGGUGUAGGAGUGAAAUCCGUAGAUAUCUGGAGGAACAUCAGUGGCGAAGGCGACUAUCUGGCACAUAACUGACGCUGAGGAGCGAAAGCGUGGGUAGCAAACAGGAUUAGAUACCCGUGUAGUC